UUAUGUGUUGUUGUUGAACAACUACUACAAGUUUAGUUCUCCCUACUUGCAAAAUUUACCGAGGUGUUCUGCCUUAGCUGUUUUCAAACAUUUUGUAAUUGAACUAGGGGGGUAGAUGUUACGUUUAACUUUUCUAAUUAUGUAGACAUGCUAUUUGCACUAUUUUUUUAUGUUGCUCUUGACCAACAAUUGCAAGUUCAGAUUUAUGUAUAUGCAAGUUUAGUUCAUAUGAAGAAAUUUUUUAAAUUCUGAUUUUAGGGUGGUGUUCUGCUCUACUUAUUCAACAACUUGUAUUACAAACAGGCGCAAUUUUACUUCUUAUGAUUAAACUUUCAAUUUCUGCCUUUAGGUGGGUGUUCUGCUUUUCUUGUAGUUCAACAUCUUUUAGUACAAGUACAAACAUGUUGUUUUUAGUCAUAAGUUAUAGUAUGAAUUUGUAUUGUUCAAUUGUUUGAAUUUCUAACAGCAAAUGUGUAUUCUGGUGUUGUCACUAUCUUUUUCUAGUUCCAGUUACAUCAUUUUUUGCUGGGCAGUAAAGAGACAUAAUAUAACUUUUCUAAUUAUUUGUUGUUGUUGAACAACUACUACAAGUUUAGUUCUCCCUACAAGAACUUUGGGCAAUCGGAGGAGAAGGACGUAGCAUGGAAGAAAUGGAGAGGAUGGAGAUCUAUCGAGACACAAGAGGGCGGAAGUAUCUGAGUUUUGUUCAGGCGUCCAUGGUGGCGCUGGUGAUGGGGGAAGGAGGGACAAGGAAGAAGACCUAGUUAUAUGUCCGUGAGCUGGAUCCAGAUCUCUGAAGGUAGUGGGUUUGGUUUCUUAGCAGGGUCAGGCCCGUUUAAUUUUGGGUUGUAUAGAUGGCAAAACAUCAAAAGGGGUUUCAGCGCUGGAUCAGUGAUGUUUUUUUUCUUUUGGGCUGAUUCGACUGACG
rnacentral:rRNA from 1 species